UACGGGGGGGGGCAAGCGUUGUUCGGAAUUACUGGGCGUAAAAGGCUCGUAGGCGGCCAACUAAGUCAGACGUGAAAUCCCUCGGCUUAACCGGGGAACUGCAUCUGAUACUGGAUGGCUUGAGAUUGGGAGAGGGAUGCGGAAUUCCAGGUGCGCGGUGAAAUGCGCAGAUAUCAGGAGGAACACCGGUGGCGAAGGCGGGUCUCUGGGCCGAUACUGACGCUGAGGAGCGAAAGCGUGGGGAGCGAACAGG
rnacentral:rRNA from 1 species